GUGGACGUAGCUCAACGGUUAGAGCGCUGGUCUGUGGCACCAGAGGUUGCGGGUUCAAUUCCCGUCGCCCACC
rnacentral:tRNA from 1 species